rnacentral:tRNA from 1 species
GCCCUCGUAGCUCAAUGGAUCAGAGCAAGGCCGUUCUACCGCCAAGGUUGGGGGUUCGAGUCCCUCCGAGGGCA